rnacentral:rRNA from 1 species
GAUGAACGCUGGCGGCGUGCCUAAUACAUGCAAGUCGAGCGAACAGAUGAGGAGCUUGCUCCUCUGACGUUAGCGGCGGACGGGUGAGUAACACGUGGAUAACCUACCUAUAAGACUGGGAUAACUUCGGGAAACCGGAGCUAAUACCGGAUAAUAUAUUGAACCGCAUGGUUCAAUAGUGAAAGACGGUUUUGCUGUCACUUAUAGAUGGAUCCGCGCCGCAUUAGCUAGUUGGUAAGGUAACGGCUUACCAAGGCAACGAUGCGUAGCCGACCUGAGAGGGUGAUCGGCCACACGGGAACUGAGACACGGUCCAGACUCCGACGGGAGGCAGCAGUAGGGAAUCUUACGCAAUGGGCGAAAGCUUGACGGAGCAACGCCGCGUGAGUGAUGAAGGUCUUCGGAUCGUAAAACUCUGUUAGUAGGGAAGAACAAAUGUGUAAGUAACUAUGCACGUCUUGACGGUACCUAAUCAGAAAGCCACGGCUAACUACGUG